AAAACAUGUYUUUUUGAAUAUAAUAAAAAGUCUAAUCUGCUCAAUGAUUUAAUAUUAAAUAGCUGCGGUAUAUUAACCGUACAAAGGUAGCAUAAUCAAUAGUUUUUUAAUUAAAAGCUGGAAUGAAUGAUUUGAUGAAAUAAUUAUUGUCUCAAUUUUAAUAGUUUUAGAAUUUUUUUUUUAGUAAAAAUACUAAAUUGUUUUUAAAAGACGAGAAGACCCUAUAGAUUUUUAUAAUAAAAAAAAAUAAAUAAAUUUAAAUUUAUUUAAAAUUUAUUUUUUAAAUUAUUUGAUUGGGGAAAUUAUUAAAUUUAAUAAAUUUUAAUUUAUAUAAAACAAAAAUUUUUGAAUUUUUGAUCUUAUUUUUAGAUUAAAAGAAUAAAUUACCUUAGGGAUAACAGCGUAAUUUUUUUAGAGAGUUCUUAUUGAUAAAAAAGUUUGCGACCUCGAUGUUGAAUUAAGAUAAAAUUUUAAUGAAGUAGUUAAUUAAUUUUGGUCUGUUCGACCAUUAAAAUCUUACGUGAUCU
rnacentral:rRNA from 1 species